rnacentral:rRNA from 1 species
AAACGCUUGAAGUCAGUCGCGUUGUCCAGGACUCAACCUUGGUUCUCCUUGGUGUAUUUCCUGGUUAACGGGUCAACAUCAAUUUUGAUCGGUGGACAAAGGCAGGGGGAAUGUGGCACCUUCGGGUGUGUUAUAGCCCCUUGUUGUAUACACUGGUUAGGAUUGAGGAUAUCACGCCCUCGGCGGUAGGAUGUUGACAUAAUGGCUUUAAGCGA